UAGGGAAUCUUCGGCAAUGGACGAAAGUCUGACCGAGCAACGCCGCGUGAGUGAAGAAGGUUUUCGGAUCGUAAAACUCUGUUGUUAGAGAAGAACAAGGACGUUAGUAACUGAACGUCCCCUGACGGUAUCUAACCAGAAAGCCACGGCUAACUACGUGCCAGCAGCCGCGGUAAUACGUAGGUGGCAAGCGUUGUCCGGAUUUAUUGGGCGUAAAGCGAGCGCAGGCGGUUUCUUAAGUCUGAUGUGAAAGCCCCCGGCUCAACCGGGGAGGGUCAUUGGAAACUGGGAGGCUUGAGUGCAGAAGAGGAGAGUGGAAUUCCAUGUGUAGCGGUGAAAUGCGUAGAGAUCUGGAGGAAUACCGGUGGCGAAGGCGGCCCCCUGGACGAAGACUGACGCUCAGGUGCGAAAGCGUGGGGAGCAAACAGG
rnacentral:rRNA from 1 species